GCCGGACGCGGUGUGGUGUGCACAUCUGUAAUCCGAGCGGCCGGGAGGCUGAGGCAGGAGGAUCACAGGUUUAAGGCCUGCCUCAGCAAUUUAGCAAGGAUGUAAGCAAUGUAGUGACACCCUGUCUCAA
rnacentral:sRNA from 1 species